AAGUCGUAACAAGGUCUCCGUAGGUGAACCUGCGGAGGGAUCAUUAAACAAAUCAAAUCCACCAUUGGAAAGCAUAACACUAAUUACUUAGUGUUAUUCUUUCCAAGGUCAGCAUAAAGAUCAUUUAGAUUUAUAUGUUGCAUAAGAGUGUAAGGGUUCAAGUAGUAGAUAUCGUAAGAUACUGUUACUUAGUUUUUCACUCUAGAAGAUACAUCUGCACUUGCAAUAGCAAAUACAUUUGUAUCUUCGAAUACACGAUAUUAAAUUGACAUAAUAAUGACAAAUUAAAUAAUCAACUUUUAACAAUGGAUCUCUUGGCUCUUAC
rnacentral:misc_RNA from 1 species